UACGUAGGGGGCUAGCGUUGUCCGGAUUUAUUGGGCGUAAAGGGCGUGUAGGCGGCCAGGUAGGUCUGGUGUGAAAACUCGAGGCUUAACCUCGAGAUGUCAUCGGAAACCAUUUGGCUAGAGUCCGGAAGAGGAGAGUGGAAUUCCUGGUGUAGCGGUGAAAUGCGCAGAUAUCAGGAAGAACACCAAUGGCGAAAGCAGCUCUCUGGGACGGUACUGACGCUGAGACGCGAAAGCGUGGGGAGCGAACAGG
rnacentral:rRNA from 1 species